CAGAGACAAAGGACCAGAGUCAGGCAGAGAGCACAGGUGGGUGGUGCAGCCAGGAGAGACAAUCUGGAGAGUGGAAGCUGACCCAACCUCUGUCUGCAUCUGGGCUUGCUCCACCCUGCCCUGAAAAGCCAGCAGCCAUUUCCAGCUGGCAUUGUGCCUGGCCUCGUCCCUCUGCCUCUGCGGGCAUACUCAUGGGAAGCCCCGAGACCUGCCAUGGGUAUUCACAGGCCCUUUCUUCCUGGGACAUCCUGUGCUGACACCGCAGCCUACAAUCCUUCUGAGAGAAGCUCUUCCUCAUUCUGCACAAAAAACACCAUGAGGGAUCCCCAGGGGGUUCUGUGCCAUAUGCCUACCUAGGUCACCACCUAUGCAGCCCAAGCUUCAGGGGGUGCCUGGCCUGCCCCGUCCCCAGGCACUCUGCAAACCUCCAAGGAGCUGCCACCACCUGCAGCUCCAAGCCUUGGGCUCCCCUGGUCCAGGCGAACCCUGGCUGCUCCUCCUCGCCCCUCUCGUGUCUCACCACCCUCCCAACACACACAGCCUCUUCUCCCAAAGAGGGCCAGGCAGCUCCCACAAGAGGCUGUGGAGUCAGUUAGGGAACCGGGAGCUAUGUGAGCUCCCACACCUGCUCCAUUUGACCAAGUCUGUGACCUGGAGCAGCUGUCUGUUUCCUCACCUGUAAAAUGGGAAUGAUAGAUAAUACCUACCUCUGGGGAUGACAAGAGACUCAACAACAAGUAUGUUGAUAUACAAACACACUUUUCUAUUUAUAAAUGUCUUCUAGUAAAAUUAUCUUAUUUUUACCAUCUGGUGGGGGGUAAAAUUGAACUCCCACCUUGCCCACACUAAGAGCCAGAAACACCCUCAUCCAGGCAGGCUCAGAUUAAAUCUCUGCAGGGAGCAAUUUUAAAUGAUCAUGUUCAACAAUGAGGGUACAGGGAAAUGGACACUUGCACGUGACAUUGGUACAAGUUUAAAUAGUUACACUUUCUGAAGGGUAUUAACAAUUGGCAUUAGCAGUUGAUGUUUUCACAGGCUGUCUCUAAGGAAGUGUCGGAGGAUGAGGUCAAAGCUUCAGCCGCAAAGUCAUUCACUGCAGCACUGACAGUGAGAGUGGAAAGUCAGAAAUCAUCUAACGUCCGACAAUGAUGGCAGCCUGGCAGGAGUAGGCCUGGCACUCACCCAGGUAGCUGAGGAUGACUGGCAGGAAGACCAGGCCGUGCAGCAGGCCCAGCAGGGUGAUCAUAAGGUUGAGGCGGAAGAAGAAGACCUGGAUGAGCUGGGCCUUGGCGAGGCCCAGGACAAGGAUGCCAGGCAGCCAACAGUGUCCACGAGGAUCAUGAUGAUGGAGAACAGGUUGAGGAUGCCGGAGCGCAGGUCCAUGCCCAGCAGGACGCAGCAGACGACAAAGGUGGGCACGAGGCAGAUGCUGAGCAUGAAGAGCCCUUCCGGGAGGAUGGUCAGGAAAAGACUAGAAAGGAAGACAGAAAAAUGACCACAGUUGAAUCACAAACAGUUGAAUUGUUGCAGCCAAGGCUUAGGGCUCCUGCCAGGUAAAUACAAUAAAGUUAUUUUCUGAU